rnacentral:rRNA from 1 species
GACGAACGCUGGCGGCGUGCUUAACACAUGCAAGUCGAACGGAAAGGCCCUGCUUUUGUGGGGUGCUCGAGUGGCGAAUGGGUGAGUAACACGUGAGUAACCUGCCCUUGACUUUGGGAUAACUUCAGGAAACUGGGGCUAAUACCGGAUAGGAGCUCCUGCUGCAUGGUGGGGGUUGGAAAGUUUCGGUGGUUGGGGAU